UAUCAACUGACCUAGCAGACUUUGCCAAGAUGAUAGAUUAAAUUUCAAAGGAUGAAAUUAUG
rnacentral:ncRNA from 1 species